UCCCCCGAAAAACGAGGGCAGUUCCGACAGACAUAUAUAACUGGCGGUAGGGGUUGCGCUCGUUACCGCACUUAAGCGGACGUCUCACGACACGAGCUGACGACAGCCAUGCAUCACCUGUGUGCCACUCUCGAAGAAGAUCUUGUUUCCAAGACCGUGCAGGCACAUGUCAAAUCUGGGUAAGGUUUUUCGCUUUGUAUCGAAUUAAACCACAUGCUCCACCGGUUGUGCGCUCCCCCGUCAAUUCCUUUGAGUUUUAACCUUGCGGUCGUACUCCCCAGGCGGAAUGCUUAACGCGUUAACUUACGACGGUCCAUUCGAAGAACAAACCAUCUAGCAUUCAAUAUUUACGGCUAGGACUAC
rnacentral:misc_RNA from 1 species